rnacentral:rRNA from 1 species
GACGAACGCUGGCGGCGUGCUUAACACAUGCAAGUCGAACGAAGUGGCGAACGGGUGAGUAACGCGUAAUCAACUUGCCCUUCAGAGGGGGACAACAGUGGGAAACGACUGCUAAUCCCGCAUACUGAAGGAGGGGAUUGCGUCUGAUUAGCUCGUUGGAGGGGGAACGGCCCACAAAGGCGAUGAGCAGUAGCCGGUCUGAGAGGAUGAACGGCCAAAUUGGGACUGAGAAACGGGCCAGACUCCGACGGGAGGGAGCAGUGGGGAAUCUUCCGCAAUGGACGAAAGUCUGACGGAGCAACGGCGCGUGAGUGAUGACGGCCUUCGGGUUGUAAAGCUCUGUUAAGCGGGACGCGGUACCGGAAUAGAAAGCCACGGCUAACUACGUGCCAGCAGCCGCGGUAAUUC